CUUAAACUGUAACUUUAGUUUUCAUUCACUGUCGGUGCAAUCUUAUUGAACUGCUGGUUAUAGUUUACUACAGGAAAUCCAAUACCCCUUCUAAAAUUCAUGCCACACUGUUGCAAUGAGUUGGCGGUGGUUAAUAUAUGAGCUCAAUAGCACUAUGGGCCUCAAGAAUACCACACUUGAGGUUGCUAAUAUACCUGAUUCAAAUAUCAGAAACCAGUCAUUUGGGUAGCAGAGAGCAGAAUGAAAAAUUGGCUUGCAUUCCAGGUUCCAAGGCUCACCGGGUUUUUUUUGCUGAUAAAGAGUUGCCCUCAUGUACCUGAUCAUCUAGGCGCAGACGACGUCGCAGAAAGCUCAAGCGGAUGGACAAAGCAAGAAGAAAGCCUGGAUCAGAGUCAGAGAUAAGGAGAUUGUGAUAGCUACAGCUGAAGAGGCAACAAGGACAUGCUGAUUUCUAGAUCGGACAUCCUACUUAAGUAGCCGAGCAAGUGGUGUUG